AGUCUUCAAGAACAAUUACUACUCCGGAUAAAAUUAAACAACUAAUAAUUUUACAAACCUUGUAAAAGCAUUUGAGAGGAAAGGAGUAAUAAGUAGUUUUAGCAUAAUGAAUACUAUCAUUGCGUGAUUUUACUUUUAUUUUCCGAAACCAAACAAAAGGUGCUUGGUAAAGGAGGUUGUAUAUACCUAAUAGAUGAAUAUUUAGGUAUAUAUAAUAUAGGUCCACCAGGACGCCCCGUCAUUCAAUAUUUGUCUAGUAGGGGAGUCCUAGAGAGAUUUUUAAGCCAAGAAUUGGGACCUUAAGAAGUGGUGCAGAGUCUGUCGAUGGACCUAAGGUCCGAACAAAUGGUACGUAUUUUCGGUUACACAAUUAAUGGUUUAUGAUUUCAACCACGACCAACUAGGACGUCAGUGGACUGACAAACGGGCCGUGGGUUGGGGCAUUAGUGAGGUUGACAAUUAUUUUUGUUAAGGUCAUUUGGAUCAUUUCCUAUUUAUAUUAGCCUAAUGCUAUGUUGCUUACCUUAAACUAAAGCCAUAUGUUAGUGUUUUUACCCCCUAAUCUACCCAAUUGAAAUCAUUCUCCCAAAUUCCUAAAAGUAGAACAAUUCUUCCUCUUCAAAACAUUUCUCUUUCAAUCUUGAAGAAGAAGGAGUCGACCAACGGUUUCAAGUCAAGCCUCCAACUUCACCAUCGAAGGAAAGCUUUUGGUAUCGAGAAAACAUGAAGAAGAAGAAGAAGAAGAAGAAGAAGAAGAAGAAGAAGAAGAAGAAGAAGAAGAACAAGAAGAAGAAGAAGAAGAAGAAGAAGAAGGGUCCUUUCAAGCCAAGUCUCCAAUGCCACCAUUGAAGUUAAGCAAUUGGCAUCAAGGAAAGAUGUUCAGGCUUAAAAUGGAGAAGACAAUUGAAAAAAUGUAGAAAUAGACGUACGGAGUCAAUCGACGAACCUUCGUUCAAUCGAAGCUUUGUAGGUGAAGGUCAUAGAUGAGAAGCCCAGACAUUGGAUAAAAUUAGGGAAGUCUAACCAAGUGUGGAACCACGAUUAGCAUCAACUCUCCGUUGAUCGAUCGACGAACCGUACAAGUUAACCGUAAUUUGUGAUUAUGAUGGUUCUAGUACCUGAUAUUUGAGGAAUAUAAGUAUGGAGUGAUGGAGAAGCAUCGAAGGACCAUAGAUGGAAUGAUGAACCGUAAUGUUGGUCCAUCAUUUCAUUUAGAGAGGGUGUCAUUCGAACAACAAAAAUAUUUUCUAUGUCUUGGCUGACGGAAGCAAAUAAUGGGUCGUCGAUCAGCCCAUCAGUUGUCUCGUCAAUUAAAGGCGCUUGCCUGAAGAAAACUUGUCAUUUGAAUUCUUUUUAUUAAGACUUUGUUUUCUAUAAAUAGGGAAUAAAGACCUCGUUUUGGGGGUUGGUAAUUAUUA